UGCGGUGUAAAAUGAGCGUGCGUCCUAUUAGCUAGUUGGUGAGGCAAUGGCUCACCAAGGCUACGAUGGGUAGGGGUUCUUAGUGGAAGAUCCCCCACACUGGCACUGAGAUACGGGCCAGACUCCUACGGGAGGCAGCAGUAGGGAAUAUUGGUCAAUGGGCGAAAGCCUGAACCAGCCAUGCCGCGUGCAGGAUGACAGCUCUCUGAGUUGUAAACUGCUUUUGUACAGGAGCAAAACAAUCCCUGCGGGGGUUCUUGAGAGUACUGUAAGAAUAAGCACCGGCUAAUUCCGUGCCAGCAGCCGCGGUAAUACGGAAGGUGCAAGCGUUAUCCGGUUUUAUUGGGUUUAAAGGGUGCGUAGGCGGCUUAUUAAGUCAGUUGUGAAAUCCUAGUGCUUAACGCUAGAACUGCAAUUGAUACUAUUAGGCUUGAGUUAAGAAUAGGUA
rnacentral:rRNA from 1 species